AUUGAACGCUAGCGGGAUGCUUUACACAUGCAAGUCGAACGGCAGCGCGGACUUCGGUCUGGCGGCGAGUGGCGAACGGGUGAGUAAUGUAUCGGAACGUGCCCAGUAGCGGGGGAUAACUACUCGAAAGAGUAGCUAAUACCGCAUACGCCCUACGGGGGAAAGGGGGGGAUCGCAAGACCUCUCACUAUUGGAGCGGCCGAUAUCGGAUUAGCUAGUUGGUGGGGUAAGGGCUCACCAAGGCAACGAUCCGUAGCUGGUUUGAGAGGACGACCAGCCACACUGGGACUGAGACACGGCCCAGACUCCUACGGGAGGCAGCAGUGGGGAAUUUUGGACAAUGGGGGAAACCCUGAUCCAGCCAUCCCGCGUGUGCGAUGAAGGCCUUCGGGUUGUAAAGCACUUUUGGCAGGAAAGAAAUUGCGCGGGUUAAUAACCCGUGUAGAUGACGGUACCUGCAGAAUAAGCACCGGCUAACUACGUGCCAGCAGCCGCGGUAAU
rnacentral:rRNA from 1 species